GAUGAACGCUGACAGAAUGCUUAACACAUGCAAGUCAACUUGAAUUUGGGUUUUUAACUUAGGUUUGGGUGGCGGACGGGUGAGUAACGCGUAAAGAACUUGCCUCACAGCUAGGGACAACAUUUGGAAUCGAAUGCUAAUACCUAAUAUUAUGAUAAUAGGGCAUCCUAUAAUUAUGAAAGCUAUAAGCGCUGUGAGAGAGCUUUGCGUCCCAUUAGCUAGUUGGAGAGGUAACGGCUCACCAAGGCGAUGAUGGGUAGCCGGCCUGAGAGGGUGAUCGGCCACAAGGGGACUGAGACACGGCCCUUACUCCUACGGGAGGCAGCAGUGGGGAAUAUUGGACAAUGGACCGAGAGUCUGAUCCAGCAAUUCUGUGUGCACGAUGAAGUUUUUCGGAAUGUAAAGUGCUUUCAGUUGGGAAGAAACAAAUGACGGUACCAACAGAAGAAGUGACGGCUAAAUACGUG
rnacentral:rRNA from 1 species